rnacentral:rRNA from 1 species
UGGGGAAUUGUUCGCAAUGGGCGCAAGCCUGGCGACGCAACGCCGCGUGGAGGAUGAAGGUCUUCGGAUUGUAAACUCCUGUUGCCCGGGACGAAUGGCCUCGACCUAAUACGUCGAGGUGUGACGGUACCGGGUGAGGAAGCCCCGGCUAACUCUGUGCCAGCAGCCGCGGUAAUACAGAGGGGGCAAGCGUUGUUCGGAAUUACUGGGCGUAAAGGGCGCGUAGGCGGCCUGCUAAGUCGAUCGUGAAAUCCCCGGGCUCAACCCGGGAACUGCGACCGAUACUGGUUGGCUUGAAUUCGGGAGAGGGAUGCGGAAUUCCAGGUGUAGCGGUGAAAUGUGUAGAUAUCUGGAGGAACACCGGUGGCGAAGGCGGCAUCCUGGACCGGCAUUGACGCUGAGGCGCGAAAGCCAGGGGAGCAAA